rnacentral:tRNA from 1 species
GGUGAGGUGUCUGAGUGGUUAAAAGAACAUACUUGGAAAGUAUGUAUAUAUUAUAAUGUAUCGAGGGUUCAAAUCCCUCCCUCACCA